rnacentral:rRNA from 1 species
AUGAUUCAGUCCCCUGCGUCCCUUUCUUCCUCCUCGCGUCACUUUCCCCGUUCCCCUCAUGCUUGCUCGUCGCCCUCCCGUGGCCUCCCGCUCGAAGCUCUGUGCCCACCACUCGCCGGGGCCGUCGUCAGCUUGCUGGGGCCGCUCGCCGGCUGGAUGAUUGCAACAAAAAUUAAUUGCCAGAAAAGAAUGGUUCCAGCUCUGCUUCAGGCGGUUCCAGCAAAAUCAAGAACUGGUUCCAGCAAAACACACAAAUGCGAAAGAAAAAUCAAAACGCACCUCGCCGCCGCAGCUCUUGGAGAAAUUUGGUUGCAGCAAAAAUAUCAUUGGGUUCCAGCAAAUUGA